GAUGAACGCUAGCGGCAGGCUUAAUACAUGCAAGUCGAGGGGUAGCAAGAUUGUAGCAAUACAAUUGUUGACGACCGGCAAACGGGUGCGGAACACGUACACAACCUUCCUACAAGUGGGGAAUAGACCAGAGAAAUUUGGAUUAAUACCCCGUAACAUAGCGAUGUGGCAUCACAUUGCUAUUAUAGCUUCGGCGCUUGUAGAUGGGUGUGCGGCUGAUUAGAUAGUUGGCGGGGUAACGGCCCACCAAGUCUACGAUCAGUAGCUGAUGUGAGAGCAUGAUCAGCCACACGGGCACUGAGACACGGGCCCGACUCCUACGGGAGGCAGCAGUAAGGAAUAUUGGACAAUGGACGCAAGUCUGAUCCAGCCAUGCCGCGUGAAGGAUUAAGGUCCUCUGGAUUGUAAACUUCUUUUAUAAGGGACGAAAAAAGGUCUUUCUAGAUCGUCUGACGGUACCUUAUGAAUAAGCACCGGCUAACUCCGUGCCAGCAGCCGCAGUAACAC
rnacentral:rRNA from 1 species